rnacentral:misc_RNA from 1 species
AACGCACAUUGCGCCUCUUGGUACUCCUUGAGGCAUGCCUGUUAGAGCGCCGUUUGACUCCUAAAGCUUAGCUUUGUGUUGAGGAUUUUGACACUGUCAAAUCUUUCAAAUUCUAUUGCCCAUUGUGUCAGAUCAAAAAGCAGUGAAAAUGCUUGGAGUACUGAUGCAAAAGGCACGUCAACGAUCGCAUGGCCUCGGAUCAGGCAAGGCUACCCGCUGAACUUAA